rnacentral:lncRNA from 1 species
GGAGCACAACGGCGAAAUGAAUGAGAAUACGCGCGUGCGCGCAGUUAACAGUC